GAAUUUUGGAUUACAGAAAUAUUAUUCUAUUAUUCGUCUGUUAAACAAGGAAUAAAGGUUGCUGGAAGCUAGCAAGUUGAUAUAAAUUGUUGUUGAUACAUAUAAUAUAUUUUUUCUAACUGACGCCAGGUUAUAGUAUGGAUAGAGUGUAUUAAGAAUAUUUUCAGUGUAAAUAUGUAAAUGUAUAUAUCAUGUUUGGGGACAAACAUAUUAGAGUAGGGGGG
rnacentral:lncRNA from 1 species